AUUGAACGCUGGCGGCAGGCCUAACACAUGCAAGUCGAGCGAGCGGCGGACGGGUGAGUACUGUCUGGGAAACUGCUUGAUGGAGGGGGAUUACUACUGGAAACGGUAGCUAAUACCGCAUACCAUCAGAUGUGCCCCGAUGGGAUUAGCUAGUAGGUGGGGUAACGGCGCACCUAGGCGACGAUCCCUAGCCGGUCUGAGAGGAUGACCAGCCAAACUGGAACUGAGACACGGUCCAGACUCCUACGGGAGGCAGCAGUGGGGAAUAUUGCACAAUGGGCGAAAGCCUGAUGCAGCCAGGCCGCGUGUGUGAAGAAGGCCUGCGGGUUGUAAAGCACUUUAAGCUGGGAGGCGUUACCAGCAGAAGAAGCACCGGCUAACUCCGUGCCAGCAGCCGCGGUAAUUC
rnacentral:rRNA from 1 species